rnacentral:rRNA from 1 species
GCGUAGGGUAUGUAGACUGUGAAAAUCAAAAUAAAUAAAAUCCUUGAGUGGUCCUCAUUGUCUGUUUAUUUAUAUAUUUCACUAGAAUCUGAGAAGGAAAAUGGUAUUUUUAUGGAGGGGUUAAAUAUGAGAUAUAAAAAGGACCGACAGUGGCAAAAGCAAUUUUCUAGUCAAGUAUUGAGUUAAGGUACGAAAGCAGGGGAGCGAAGUGGAUUAGAUACCCAUGUAGUCCGUGUGUCAACGCUGAGUUUUCAAUGUAGAAUAUGUGAAAUAUAGAAAUAUAUAAAAAAAUUUCUUAAAAGACCUAAAGAGGAUAGUAUUACACAAAGUAUUUAGAUAUAAAUAUUAAUUAUUUAUAUUAUAUUUAACAUAUAUCUUUUAUUGUAAUAAUUAAAUAUUAUAUGCAAAUAUUUCAGGCUUUUUUGGUGUUUGAGUAACGCGUUAAAUUCUCCGCUGGGAAGUAUGGCCGCAGGUUGAAACUCAAAAGAAUUGAGGUGACUUGUACGAGG